rnacentral:rRNA from 1 species
GGUUAAGCGACUAAGCGUACACGGUGGAUGCCCUGGCAGUCAGAGGCGAUGAAGGACGUGCUAAUCUGCGAUAAGCGUCGGUAAGGUGAUAUGAACCGUUAUAACCGGCGAUUUCCGAAUGGGGAAACCCAGUGUGUUUCGACACACUAUCAUUAACUGAAUCCAUAGGUUAAUGAGGCGAACCGGGGGAACUGAAACAUCUAAGUACCCCGAGGAAAAGAAAUCAACCGAGAUUCCCCCAGUAGCGGCGAGCGAACGGGGAGCAGCCCAGAGCCUGAAUCAGUGUGUGUGUUAGUGGAAGCGUCUGGAAAGGCGCGCGAUACAGGGUGACAGCCCCGUACACAAAAAUGCACAUGCUGUGAGCUCGAUGAGUAGGGCGGGACACGUGGUAUCCUGUCUGAAUAUGGGGGGACCAUCCUCCAAGGCUAAAUACUCCUGACUGACCGAUAGUGAACCAGUACCGUGAGGGAAAGGCGAAAAGAACCCCGGCGAGGGGAGUGAAAAAGAACCUGAAACCGUGUACGUACAAGCAGUGGGAGCCUCUCUUUAUGGGGGGUGACUGCGUACCUUUUGUAUAAUGGGUCAGCGACUUAUAUUCUGUAGCAAGGUUAACCGAAUAGGGGAGCCGAAGGGAAACCGAGUCUUAACUGGGCGUUAAGUUGCAGGGUAUAGACCCGAAACCCGGUGAUCUAGCCAUGGGCAGGUUGAAGGUUGGGUAACACUAACUGGAGGACCGAACCGACUAAUGUUGAAAAAUUAGCGGAUGACUUGUGGCUGGGGGUGAAAGGCCAAUCAAACCGGGAGAUAGCUGUUUCUCCCCGAAAGCUAUUUAGGUAGCGCCUCGUGAAUUCAUCUCCGGGGGUAGAGCACUGUUUCGGCAAGGGGGUCAUCCCGACUUACCAACCCGAUGCAAACUGCGAAUACCGGAGAAUGUUAUCACGGGGGACACACUGCGGAUGGUAACAUCCGUCGUGAAGAGAGAAACAACCCAGAGCGCCAGAUAAGGACGCAGAGUCAUGGUUAAGUGGGAGACGAUGUGGCAAGUUACAGACAGCCAGGAUGUUGGCUUAGAG